rnacentral:rRNA from 1 species
CACGUAGGGCGCAAGCGUUGUCCGGAAUUAUUGGGCGUAAAGGGCGCGUAGGCGGUCACGCACGUCCGUUGUGAAAUCGCUCGGCUCAACUGGGCGGGGUCAGCGGAUACGGCGUGGCUGGAGCAAGCUAGGGGGCAAUGGAAUUCCCGGUGUAGUGGUGGAAUGCGUAGAUAUCGGGAGGAACACCAGUGGCGAAGGCGGUUGCCUGGAGCUUUGCUGACGCUGAUGCGCGAAAGCGUGGGGAGCGAUCCGG